rnacentral:tRNA from 1 species
GGGCACUUGGCGCAGUGGUUAGCGCGUCGCGCUUACAUCGCGAAGGUCACAGGUUCAAAUCCUGUAGUGCCCACCA